GAGGACUUAGCUUAAAUUAAAGUGUUUGACUUGCAAUCAAUUGAUGUGAGAUAGAUUCUUGCAGUCCUUA
rnacentral:tRNA from 1 species